rnacentral:rRNA from 1 species
GACGAACGCUGGCGGCGUGCCUAAUGCAUGCAAGUAGAACGCACAGUUUAUACCGUAGCUUGCUACACCAUAGACUGUGAGUUGCGAGCGGGUGAGUAACGCGUAGGUAACCUGCCUGGUAGCGGGGGAUAACUAUUGGAAACGAUAGCUAAUACCGCAUAAUAUUAAUUAUUGCAUGAUAAUUAAUUGAAAGGUGCAAUUGCACCACUACCAGAUGGACCUGCGUUGUAUUAGCUAGUAGGUGAGGUAACGGCUCACCUAGGCGACGAUACAUAGCCGACCUGAGAGGGUGAUCGGCCACACUGGGACUGAGACACGGCCCAGACUCCUACGGGAGGCAGCAGUAGGGAAUCUUCGGCAAUGGACGAAAGUCUGACCGAGCAACGCCGCGUGAGUGAAGAAGGUUUUCGGAUCGUAAAGCUCUGUUGUAAGAGAAGAACGGGUGUGAGAGUGGAAAGUUCACACUGUGACGGUAUCUUACCAGAAAGGGACGGCUAACUACGUG